GUUCUGAGACCUGUUCUUGCCACUUCUGUUGCGACUCACUUGGUUGAUUAAGAAAGUUUUCCUGUAGGUAAUCAAGUCUGACCCAUAUUUUCCAGACUAUCUGCUGGGAGAAACUGUGGCAGGGAAAGAGCGGUUUACCCUCUUGCAUGCCUAUAAAAACAUAUAUAAAGAUUGUGCAUGUCAUGUUUAGCAUGCUACAUUCAGUUAACUGUCCUUUUUGACCACUUCACUAUUUUUUUGCAUGGUGAACUCUCUUUUCUUGAUCUCUCCUUUUACUGCCACUCAAAGUCCCUUUCUUUCUCCUCCUCUCUCUCAGUUUCUGUCUUUUACUUCGCAUCCUUUGCCAAAGUGGGCAGGGAGAAAGGGCUUGUAGUGAGGCGGGUGAAGCGGAGGCCGCUGUAUGAGCUCUUUCUUCAGCCACAACCCCAUGGAAGAGCAUGUUCGGUAGUAGCACAAUUCUGGGUCUCUUUCUCUGACAUAGGCGUUAUACUCUUCUCCUCCUCCUGCUGCCAUGACCCUACCUUCUUGUAGUUUUUGAUGUUCAAGCUUCUUGCUUGCAGAAUGGGCACGAGUUCCUGGCGAAGGAUCAAGACUUUUUUUCCUCUUCAUGAUUCAAUGCCAGCCUCGCUAGAAUGAAAAUUCUAGCAGUCUGCAGUUUGGCCAGUUAACAUCUAUUCUGCUGUCCUUGGGGCUGAGGUAGUAGAUUGAAUAGUUGUUGAGCCCUGUGCUCUCUCACUGAGAUAACUAUGCAAUCUACUGUCUUUCCUAAGGCGACAGCCAAAUCAUCCACAAACAACAUGGACUUGUUUUAAAUAGAGCCAUCUCACACACUUCCUGCUAGGUGACCACAGUCAUCCACUAAGCUGGAAAGGAUAAUACGGCCUGCAAAUGAACCUACAGCAACACACUGGGGCUCUCAGUCCGUGCUCUUUGGUAUGAAUUUAGAGUCAACAUGAAAUCAAAAGUGACCCAAUUUACUUUCUUAAUACACAUUUCUAGUCUUUUUGUGAACAAUUUAUUGGUGCAUGUUAUUCCAAAGAAAAAUAAUGCUUGUCUUUGUAAUCUUUCAUUAAAGGCCCUAUGAAAUCGCUUGACAAGCGCAGUUUUCUUUCCUGUGUUGACAUAUUUCCUAUUGAAACAGGAACUUGGGGCAGGACAUACCGAAGAGCCCCCAACUUUUAUCUUUCAGCUUCUUUUCUUCCAACCAUCAAUCAUACAGAGACCACGGCCAGCUAGCUGUGCUGGUCUAAUGUGAUAUGUAAUGCCCACUUUUCAUGAUCCAGUUAAUUCUCAGUGGAUAAAAUCAAGUCAUACCAUAAAUGUUUUUUUUUUUCUUCUCAUUAAAGAUCCAGUUUUGCCCUGAAAUCCUCACAUUAUGGAAGUAAAAUGGGUUGCGAAAUUCGCUUCAUGUUGAUUCAAAUGCAUUAACAGAUAGUGAUAUCCAGUUCAUGAACGAAUCUUUCUUUCGAACUGGUUCUUUUCAGUGAACUGGUUCAGUUCACCAGUUCAGAACCAGUUCACCAAAUCGGACUCAAUUAGUUGGAACAGUUUGGGUCUCGAGUCAACACAGAUCCACAAGUUACCUGUCCCUCGGACGUACCUGACCGUCCUAUUGAAAAUGAGCCGAUAACUGGGAGUAAUAUAAUCCUAGAAUUGGUGAUAUCUGCUUUUGUUAACUCUUCUGUGCAAUGAACUGCUCAGGAGUGCCUUUCCCAAAAGCAUCAUUAGUCAACUAUGGUCUAAAGUUUCAUGGUUACCAACGAUGUGGUGUUUCCUGAAAUCAUAUUUCCAAUGAACAUUUGCAAACAGCAUCACAGUUGUGUGGUUGGAACUAAAGCUCUUUACCUGUGGUUAGAAGCAUAGUUCCUUGCUAGUUUGCUGGGUGGACAUCAUUUGAUUUCACUGAGGCUUCUAUAUCAUUCAUUCCAAAUAUAUCCUUCAUUCUGUCAACACUUUGACCACGUUGACAUGCAUUUAAGAAAAUGUCUUAUUCCGGGGUUUUGCAGAAAGAGGCGUUCUGAACCAUCAUGAAUGGAGCCAUUUAAGGGAUUAAAGGCUGUUAAGAGAAAGCGCUUUAUCACACAUGGUUUCUGUCGAAGAACACGGCUUUUAUGUGUUUAUGUUAACACAUAAGUGCUGUUUAUAUGUUUUUGAAGAGUGCGCAUGUGCAUAUGUGCUCAAGUGCGUCAGGGGAACACCGAAGUCUGAUGUAGAGGGAAAACCAUCAAUUGCGGCAUAUGUAUCUGUCACAUUACACAGUGCAUGCAGCUUUCCUGUCUUCAGCAACUUUAUCACAUUACCACUUUCUGGUGUCUGUGUAAAUGAGCUAUUAUCAUUUAAUAUUCACGGAACGUAUUACUCCACCAUCUGCGUAACGUCUUUACGACAGCUCUGUGUUGUUGAACCAGCGUGGUUGGAAUGGUGGAUGUGCGACAUAGUUACUACGGUUUUGGGAAACAGUCUUGACUAGCUAGUUCAUUUCUCCAACGAUGCAUCGUACUAUACUGUACUUCAUUGUAUAUGGGAAAUGCAUUCCUGACAAGAUCGGAAAUCAGGUAACAACAGUUCUCGAGUCAACAGUACACUAAACUGAGAACCGCCUCUUUUGGACAUGUCUGAAAAACCGAUGAGUAAGCUGCUGAUACUAUGAGCAUGCAUGUACCCAGGAUUUGAAUGAGGGGGUGAAAUGUACAUUUCUUUACUAACAAAUAAAACAUACUGGAAAUAUGCUUACGACAAGCUUUAUUAAAUAACAUUUUUAUUAAAACAUGUAAAAAAAGUUCAGUCGAGAUAUGUAAAUGAAUUUUACUAUUGUGUAUGCACAUUAUAUUUUAAGUUAUGAGCUGGAUCAUGGUUUUGGGUGAAUUGAUUAAGACUGGUUUAUUCUCUUUAUAUUCUUUAGACACACAGAACAUCUUUGUGUUUGUCUGUAUUGGGUGCUUUAAGUGCAAAACUGUAAUAUUGGAAACUUAUCCUAGAUGUAAGUAAUGUUUGUCAGUCAUAUUCAUUGCGCAAGGUCAUUGAAUUAAACACUGAUGCCAAAAAAACACACGUAUUAUUUAAUUAUUAUAAUUAAUUAAAUGAAAGGUAAGAACCUGAAUAUGUGCUUAUAUUUGGCCUUAUUUGGAUGUGUUUGAGUGUGUAUUGACGCGAGGAUGUUAGAAUUAUUUACUAGUGAUGUCAUUAGGUGAGGGCGUAAAAGAACUGCUAAAUUAUUUUUUUGAACCGGUUCAUUGAAACAAACCACCCGAAAGAACCGGUUCACGGAGAUGAAUAAGACUUCCGAUAACUAGUAACGGCAGAGGUUAAACGUUGGUGAGGACAUGCUUUCAUGGGAAUCCUGAAAACAAGUGCAGCGAAUAAAUCGUUACAAACUGCAUUUUGGUGCUUUGACAGGGUGAGGUAGUAGGUUGUAUAGUUUGGUGGGAGGGAUCAAACCCUGUUCAGGUGAUAACUAUACAGUCUAUUGCCUUCCUUGUGGUACCAACUAUCUGCUGGCUUGCGGCAAAGCAUCCCUGGAGCAACAGCUAAAAUACUGUUUAAACUCAAACUCUAUGCCUAGCAUAACUGAAGAAGACCUGCACAACAUAUGUGUCUCUAAUACAAGCUUAAGAAGCUGUGAAAUAGGAUUUCAUGAAGAGGAUAAAUCAGAUUAAAUGACAUUUACUGUGCCCAGAUUUAUGGCUCAAUCAAUAAUUUAGCUUUUAAGUUGGCAUGAACUUUUGUGACUUUGUUUUAUAUAUAAAAUAAAUUUUUGAUUAACA